rnacentral:rRNA from 1 species
UACGUAGGGUGCAAGCGUUAAUCGGAAUUACUGGGCGUAAAGCGCACGUAGGUGGUUCAGUAAGUUGGAAGUGAAAUCCCCGGGCUCAACCUGGGAACUGCUUUCAAAACUGCUGAGCUAGAGUACGGUAGAGGGUGGUGGAAUUUCCUGUGUAGCGGUGAAAUGCGUAGAUAUAGGAAGGAACACCAGUGGCGAAGGCGACCACCUGGACUGAUACUGACACUGAGGUGCGAAAGCGUGGGGAGCAAACAGG